UUUGAUAAUUGGGGGGGUUUCAACACGAACCCACUAUAUGCGAUACUUCAUGAGGUGAUUUACUGCCAAGGUGUUCCAUCUCAGUGGGCUGCUCAAAGAAUAAGGGAGGCCAACGGAAGCAAGUUUGACGCAAUCAAAGCAGCAAAAGAAGGGCGUCCUGUAUAUUUUACGGGAGAGGUUUGCACAUCACUGAGUGGAGAUCCUUUCACCGAUGAGAAAUUUGAUGAAAUACGAGACAAAUGGGCAUCAUACUUCACCGAACAUUGUGUGUAAUUAACGCUUCAUCGAUUUCUUUUUGUGGAUGUUUCAUGCUAUUAAAAUCAUAUAUAAUUGCCUUAUUAUAUUUUUGGUGCAAUUUUGUAACGUAUGAAGUGUAAAAGAUAUAGUUAUUAUAGACUUGAAACUAUUAGGUGGUUUAUUUUUGUAAACAUAUGAUGUUUAACUUAUAUGUAAAAAUCAAAGUUUCUUGGAAGUUAUUGGUGGU